CAAUUUGAAGAUUCUAGGGAACUUUUUAAGCCCUUUUGUAUUCCCUUUAGCGCCUUGACCGCUUCCAAGCUUAGCAGUCACGACCCAUUCGUUAGCUCUACCUGCCUCAAACAGACCAAUGAGAGUGGCCUUUGUCCGGUGCAGGGACAUCACAUUCUCAAAUAGAAUCCAAUAGAACAGCAGAUGAAUCGACCUUUUUGAAAGAAAAAGAAAGACUCAGUUUAAGGAAGAAAGGUUGCUACUUGACAUACAAGUAACCUAAUCAAGCAAAGAACCCUAGAUAGUGACGUAAGGUACAAGAAACACAAUUCACCUGGGAGUACCGACAGAGUUGAGGACAGUGAUGAUGGAAGGGAUGUAAACGGAACCCCAAAUUGGAACUUUAACUUCAGGGACAAGAAUGGUGAGAGGAAGAACAACGCAGUAGAAACAAAAUGUAACCCAAUGUGCAAUGACUUUCCUCACAAA